rnacentral:rRNA from 1 species
CGCACGGGUGAGUAACACGUAAGUAAUCUACCUCUGGGUGGGGAAUAACUCAAGGAAACUUGAGCUAAUACCGCAUAAUGCAGCGGCUCCUUCGGGAGACAGUUGUUAAAGCAUUUAUGCGCCUAAAGAGGAGCUCGCGGCAGAUUAGCUAGUUGGUAAGGUAACGGCUUACCAAGGCUACGAUCUGUAGCCGGCCUGAGAGGGCGGUCGGUCACACUGACACUGAAUAACGGGUCAG